UACGUAGGGUGCGAGCGUUGUUCGGAAUGAUUGGGCGUAAAGCGCACGUAGGCGGGUCUGCAAGUCAGCUGUGAAAUCCCUGGGCUUAACCUGGGAAUUGCGGUUGAUACUACAGAUCUUGAAUACCUAAGAGGGUAGCGGAAUUCCGGGUGUAGUAGUGAAAUACGUAGAUAUCCGGAGGAACACCAGAGGCGAAGGCGGCUACCUGGUGGUGUAUUGACGCUGAGGUGCGAAAGCGUGGGGAGCAAACAGG
rnacentral:rRNA from 1 species